GUGGCUCAGGACGAACGCUGGCGGCGUGCCUAACACAUGCAAGUCGAACGGAACUGUUUUGAAAGAUUUCUUCGGAAUGAAUUUGAUUUAGUUUAGUGGCGGACGGGUGAGUAACGCGUGAGUAACCUGCCUUCAAGAGGGGGAUAACAUUCUGAAAAGAAUGCUAAUACCGCAUGAUAUAUCGGAACCACAUGGUUUUGAUAUCAAAGAUUUUAUCGCUUGAAGAUGGACUCGCGUCCGAUUAGUUAGUUGG
rnacentral:rRNA from 1 species